CACGUAGGGGGCGAGCGUUGUCCGGAAUCAUUGGGCGUAAAGAGCUCGUAGGCGGCUCGGUAAGUCGGGUGUGAAACCCCCAGGCUCAACCUGGGGACGCCACCCGAUACUGCUGUGGCUAGAGUCCAGUAGGGGAGUGUGGAAUUCCCGGUGUAGCGGUGAAAUGCGCAGAUAUCGGGAGGAACACCGGUGGCGAAGGCGGGUCUCUGGGCCGAUACUGACGCUGAGGAGCGAAAAGCGUGGGGAGCGAACGGG
rnacentral:rRNA from 1 species